rnacentral:rRNA from 1 species
UACGAAGGGUGCAAGCGUUACUCGGAAUUACUGGGCGUAAAGCGUGCGUAGGUGGUGAGUUAAGUCUGUCGUGAAAGCCCCGGGCUCAACCUGGGAAUGGCGAUGGAUACUGGCUCGCUAGAGUGCGGUAGAGGAGAGUGGAAUUCCCGGUGUAGCAGUGAAAUGCGUAGAGAUCGGGAGGAACACCUGUGGCGAAAGCGGCGCACUGGACCACAACUGACGCUGAUGCGCGAAAGCUAGGGGAGCAAACAGGAUUAAGAAAC